rnacentral:lncRNA from 1 species
AUCCGUGAAUCUGUGUAUGAAUGUUAUAUUUAAGUUAAAAUGUGUGAUAUAGUGUCUGAUCAUUAUUGUUAUAAUUGCAGCCAAGAGGCAACAGAAAACAUGGUGCAUCAUUUAUCAUCACUAGAGCAAUUACAGGUCCUGCAUUAUUUUUGCUUCGGUACCUCUGGUACAGCCCUGCAAAAUUUUCUCUGCCCACUGGACUGGUUCGUCUCGUUAGUAAGCAGAUCAACUGGCACCUUGUCCUUGCCAGCAAUGGUAAAUUGUUGGCAGUUGUUCAAGACCAAUGUGUAG